rnacentral:rRNA from 1 species
CCUACGGGCGGCAGCAGUGGGGAAUAUUGCGCAAUGGGCGAAAGCCUGACGCAGCGACGCCGCGUGAGGGAUGAAGGUCUUCGGAUCGUAAACCUCUGUCAGCAGGGAAGAACGGUCACUGUGCUAAUCAGCAGUGAAUUGACGGUACCUGCAAAGGAAGCACCGGCUAACUCCGUGCCAGCAGCCGCGGUAAUACGGGGGGUGCGACCGUUAAUCGGAAUUACUGGGCGUAAAGCGCUCGUAGGCGGUAUGUCAAGCAAAGGGUGAAAUCCCCGCGCUCAACGUGGGAACUGCCUUUGAAACUGGCAAACUGGAGUGUGUGAGAGGAUAGUGGAAUGCCAGGUGUAGGAGUGAAAGCCGUAGAGAUCUGGAGGAACAUCAGUGGCGAAGGCGACUAUCUGGCACAUAACUGACGCUGAGGAGCGAAAGCGUGGGUAGCAAACAGGAUUAGAUACCCUAGUAGUC